rnacentral:RNase_P_RNA from 1 species
UGAGUAAGACGGACAGGCGCGUGGCGGCGCCGAAAGGCCCGCCAUGAGGAAAGUCCGGGCUCCAUAGGGCAAGGAUAACGGGUAACGCCCGCCGAAGGCGACUUCAGGAAAAGUGCAACAGAAAUAAACCGCCGCAGAUCACGGACCGGCCCUUUAGCCGCCUGCGGCUGCGGUAAGGAUGGAAAGGCGAGGUAAGAGCUCACCCAUCGGCUGGAGACUGUCCGAUGCUGUAAACUCUAUCCGGAGCAACACCGUGGGAGGACAAAUUGCGGGCGCCUCAAAGCGGCCGCGAUCUAUAGACCGGCCCGGUCGUCCUCAAGGAGGUGGCUGGAGCGGCCUGGCAACAGGCCGCCUAGAUAGAUGACUGUCAAAUACAGAACCCGGCUUAUAGUCUUACUCAUUCA